CGAGUUCUGGCUCAGGAUGAACGCUAGCGGCAGGCUUAACACAUGCAGGUCGAGGGGCAGCGCGAGGUAGCAAUACUUUGGCGGCGACCGGCGGAAGGGUGCGUAACGCGUGAGCAACUUGCCCGUAUCUGGGACAUAACCGAUGGAAACGUCGACUAAUUUCCCAUAACAACAGAGAUGACAUCUUCUUUGUUUGAAAGCUUCGGUGGAUACGGAUGGGCUCGCGUGACAUUAGCUAGUUGGAGUGGUAACGGCACACCAAGGCGACGAUGUCUAGGGGUUCUGAGAGGAAGGUCCCCCACACUGGAACUGAGACACGGUCCAGACUCCUACGGGAGGCAGCAGUGAGGAAUAUUGGUCAAUGGGCGGAAGCCUGAACCAGCCAUGCCGCGUGCAGGAAAUAAGGCCCUAUGGGUCGUAAACUGCUUUUGACGGGGAGCAAUAAGGGCUACGCGUAGCCCGAUGAGAGUACUCGUCGAAUAAGCAUCGGCUAACUCCGUGCCAGCAGCCGC
rnacentral:rRNA from 1 species